UACAGAGGUCCCGAGCGUUGCUCGGAAUCAUUGGGCGUAAAGCGCACGUAGGCGGUCUGUUAUGUCGGAUGUGAAAGCCCUUGGCUCAACUGAGGAAGUGCAUCCGAAACUGGCAGGCUAGAGUACUAAAGAGGGUCGCGGAAUUCCCGGUGUAGAGGUGAAAUUCGUAGAUAUCGGGAGGAACACCGGUGGCGAAGGCGGCGACCUGGGUAGAUACUGACGCUGAGACGCGAAAGCGUGGGGAGCGAACAGG
rnacentral:rRNA from 1 species